rnacentral:rRNA from 1 species
UAAAGAUUCAUCGCUGAUAGAUAGGCAUGCGUUCCAUUAGGCAGUUGGCGGGGUAACGGCCCACCAAACCGACGAUGGAUAGGGGUUCUGAGAGGAAGGUCCCCCACAUUGGUACUGAGACACGGACCAAACUCCUACGGGAGGCAGCAGUGAGGAAUAUUGGUCAAUGGGCGUAAGCCUGAACCAGCCAAGUCGCGUGAGGGAUGAAGGUUCUAUGGAUCGUAAACCUCUUUUAUAAGGGAAUAAAGUGCGGGACGUGUCCCGUUUUGUAUGUACCUUAUGAAUAAGGAUCGGCUAACUCCGUGCCAGCAGCCGCGGUAAUACGGAGGAUCCGAGCGUUAUCCGGAUUUAUUGGGUUUAAAGGGUGCGUAGGCGGCCUUUUAAGUCAGCGGUGGAAGUCUGUGGCUCAACCAUAGAAUUGCCGUUGAAACUGGGAGGCUUGAGUAUGUUUGAGGCAGGCGGAAUGCGUGGUGUAGCGGUGAAAUGCUUAGAUAUCACGCAGAACCCCGAUUGCGAAGGCAGCCUGCCAAGCCAUGACUGACGCUGAUGCACGAAAGCGUGGGGAUCAAACAGGAUUAGAUACCCUGGUAGUCCACGCAGUAAACGAUGAUCACUAGCUGUUUGCGAUACAGUGUAA